AUGAUUGAUCUGCAUAUGAAGAACAGAAGCAUCAUUAUGAGAAACUCCACAACAUCAUCCAUGAUCAAAGAGGUCAAAGGUCACCUCAGAGCUGGUCCCACAGUGAAGCCCUCAGUGUCUCUGCUGCCGCCCUCUUCUCUGCAGAUCUCUGGAGACUCAGCCGCACUGCUCUGCCUGCUCAGCUCUUACUCUCCACAGGGGGCGCUGGUGAGCUGGACACUGGACGGGUCAGAGGUCACCGAGGGGGUUCUGACCAGCGCAGAGAGCCAGCAGGACGGCCGCUACAGCCGCAGUAGCGUCCUGACCCUCAGCAAAGCACGCUGGGAAGAGGGAGAGCUGUACGUCUGCAGAGUAACACAUGAUGGAGCUCCUCAUGAGGUCUCGUUCCACAAGAGCUCUGAGUGCUGAUGUUUCUCUCCUGAAGAUGAGCCGUAUCUGAGUGUCCUGUGUCAGGCAGGAUUCACAUGAGUCUAGUGCUGCAGCUGUAGUGCUUUACAACUCCAUACUGAAAGAGUGUGUGUGUGUGUGUGUGUGUGUGUGUGUGUGUGUGUGAUCUUUCAAUCUGCUGUGUUUGCUGCAACAUUCAAUAAAGCUUCUCAACAAGUUCA